AGAGAUUAGUCAGGCACACGCCCGCAUAGUUUAUACGUGCAUACACGCAUACACACAUACGCAAGGAGUGAGUGAUCGUGCGGUCCGCAGCGUACGCCCUCUCCCCCCUCCACCCCCAACACACACACACACACGCACCCUAUCGCACGGGUCAGAGGCUUGUGCGCGUGCACGCGUGCAGUCACGGCGUAGAAUCGCUCUUGAGCAUUAAAGCAAGCAAACUCGGCAACCCGCCAUCACCACGGAAGUCGUCUUACGCAGCGGCCAUGGACAUGCUAACGAAGCUGCUGCCCUACAUGGACAAGCACCUAGCCCUGGGCCUGCUGAACCACUACGCGCAGAACGGCGAGGAUGUGCAAGAUGCCAUGAUGAAGCUGAUCGAGACGACCGGGCUGAACGCCGAUGGCAGCAUCAAGACAGAGACGGAGGAGAUGAUGGCCAAAGCAACCGCGGCUGCCCAACCGGCGCUGAAGGAGUUCUUCGACGAGUCCGAGGACGACCAUUCCACCUACCAGUUUAAGCUGACGGAGACCGAGAUAGGGGAGCGACGCACGCAGGGUGAGCUGUCGCUCGAGUUCCUUUCCGAGAAAAAGGGCAUCACAGCGGCUGUCAUGAAUGCGUUGUACAAGCUUGCGUAUCUCUACUACGACACCGGCGCCUACGGCGACGCCUCGGAGCUGCUGACGCUGUGCCAGUGCGUGAGUGGUUACGACAACAUCCGCUCAGAUACGAUUCUGUGGGGUAAGCUGAUGAGUGACAUCGGCGCCGUCAACUGGCAGUCCGCCAUGCGUAUUGCCGAGGAGAUUCGCCGCUUGCACAAUGCCAGCGAGGAGGACCUCUUCGGUGCCCCGAACACCACCACGGUGCGUGCGCGCGUGUGGCUGCUGCACUGGGUACUCUUCCCGUUCUUCAAGGGCGGCCUGCAGUAUUCGCUGCAGCUGCUGUACUUCAUCUUCGAUCACCGCCACGACCAGACAUACCGCAAGGCCGUUGAGACGGUGUGCCCGCACUACCUGCGGUACAUCUGCGCGGCUGUCCUUUUGCACCGAACCCGUUACAGCAACUUUGUUAGCGCCGCGGAGCUGGUGGAGGCCAUCUACGAGUACUCGGACCCCCUCACGCAGCUGGUGAGUCUCAUUCAGAAGGCUUCCUUCGAGGAUGCCAUAGCGCUGCUGCCCGAGGUGCGGCGUAUGAUCAAGGAGGACUACUUCCUGGCCGACUACGAGGACGAGCUCAUUGAGAACGCGAAGCGCAUGAUCUUCAGCAAGUACAUGUCUCUGCACUCCGUCGUCUCCAUUCCGUAUGUGGCGGAGCAGCUGGACAUGUCCAAGGCCGAUGCCGAGGUGUGGCUGGUCAACCUUAUCAGCGAGUCCGUGAAGCAUCGCGCAAAGAUCGACUCAGUGAACGAGCAGCUGAACGUGGAGCCGCAGACGCGCUCGCUGGAGUCGCUCAUCUACGACAAGCUAGACACCGUUCUGCGUUGAACCGGCGCCCCGUCUUCUUCGUUUCUCCCUUUUCCCGGUCUUUGCGGGGCGCCGGCGUGGACUUCUUGCACACUUCCCCACCACCGUGUGUUGGCGCCGUGGCGCCGAGGACGUGAGGACUGCUCGUGGACUCGCUGGUGAGGCGGGUGAGAGAGAGCGAGAGAGCGAGGAAGCCCCUUCCAACAGCUGUCGCGUGCACCUGCGCGCACGCGUGUUUUGGGUGUGCGUUUUAUGUGUUUCGUUGUUGUUGCGGAGAGGCUGAGUUGGCCUUCUCCGUUGUCGUCUUGUCCUUCGCGUGCGCCCCGCGUGUGCCCUUCUCGCGUGCCUCUUUUCGCCUUACUAAACAGAGCGCGCGAACGAAGCAGCGGGGUCGAUCGGCGGCACGCACGCAUCGGGGGCGGUGCUGCGAUGACGGGCUCGUAACUAAGAGCGUAAGCAGGAGAUGCGCGCAACUUUAAAAGCACACAUACACGCAAAGGAGAGAGAGAGAGGGGGGAGGGAGGGAGCCUUUUAUUUUCUAACUGUUCUUCAUAUUGGGGCGUCUGCGUUGUUAGCGUCUGCGUGUGUGUGUGCGCACGUUUUUCCGUGUUGUAUCGGAUUGGUGGCUGCUUUGAACGUGCGUCUGGCAGCGCCAAGGAGCGCACAAGAGUGGAAGGAGGGGGGGGAGGCAAAGAAAGGAAGGACGGCUGGCCGCCCUCCGGUCGUGCACGAUCUAUGUAUCUCUGCGCCUGCCUAUGAGAGCGUACACAUGUGCACGUGUGUUGUUGUUGCUGGUUGCUUCCCCCCCUCGUCGUGAGCGCCGGUGCGUUUCGUUGUUCCUCUCUCUCUCUCUCCGGUUUCUUUGUGAUAACGGUAGGCGGUAUCUGCGCGUGUGUGUGGAUGUGGAUAUGGGCGCACUACCUGGCAAGGGCGUUGCCCCACACAUGUAUAUCCCCACCCCCCCAUGCCCUCAAGCACCAUAUCCACACACGCACAUACAUAUGCACCCGCGCGAAAAAAAAAACAAAUGCCCCAAACCAGCACGAAGACGAAGAGCAACACAAGAGCAGCUUAGCGCAGGCACAUGCAUGCCCGAGAUGCGCACAAGAGGUGUCUAGUGGCGUGUGAGUGGCUUUGGCGGCAAUCGUCGUCGAUGCACCCCGUUAGCAGAGGGAUAUACCGUGAUGACGAUGGGAGAAGGGAGGUGGACGAGGAGGAGAGAAGCAGGUACGAGCAGUAGCGUUGAGGGAAAGCUGAGAGGGGGGGGGCGGGACUGCGCUACUCCUAUUCUGUGUUUUGCGUUGUUUCCAAUUGCUUCUCCCCAUCGUCACGCAUCAACCCUCGUCUUCCCUUUCCCUUCUUGUGUCUGGUUCAUCGCCCUAUAGGGGUGCACGCGCGUGUGUUAUGUGUCGGCUGUAUGCCAGGCGCGCAGCUGAUGGCUCCGCCUCGUCACGUUUGCGUCUUCGCUCUUUCCUCUGCGCUCUUCUCCAUUUCUUCACCUUGCCCUCUUUUCUUCCUCCCUUAUCCCUCUCUGUCCGCGCGCUGUCACGAUGCCACACGCACACCGACAUGCCGAUCUGAAUUUGCCCGAAACUCCCCCUCCCUUUCCCUCCUCUUUCCAG
rnacentral:misc_RNA from 1 species